rnacentral:rRNA from 1 species
UACGUAGGGUGCAGGCGUUAAUCGGAAUUACUGGGCGUAAAGCGUGCGCAGGCGGUCUGCUAAGAGAGAUGUGAAAUCCCCGGGCUUAACCUGGGAACUGCGUUUCUAACUGGCAGGCUUGAGUGUGGCAGAGGGGGGUGGAAUUCCACGUGUAGCAGUGAAAUGCGUAGAGAUGCGGAGGAACACCGAUGGCGAAGGCAGCCCCCUGGGCUAACACUGACGCUCAGGCACGAAAGCGUGGGGAGCAAACAGG